CGCAACCCCUGCUUUCAGUUACUAACGGGUCAAGCCGAGAACUCUGGAGAGACUGCCCAGGAGAACGGGGAGGAAGGUGGGGAUGACGUCAAGUCAGCAUGGCCUUUAUGCCUGGGGCUACACACGUGCUACAAUGGCCGGUACAAAGGGCUGCAAACCCGUAAGGGGAAGCGAAUCUCAAAAAACCGGCCUCAGUUCAGAUCGAGGUCUGCAACUCGACCUCGUGAAGGCGGAAUCGCUAGUAAUCCCGGAUCAGCACGCCGGGGUGAAUACGUUCCCGGGCCUUGUACACACCGCCCGUCACACCACGAAAGUUUGUUGUACCUGAAGUCGUUGGCGCCAACCGCAAGGAGGCAGACGCCCACGGUAUGACCGAUGAUUGGGGUGAAGUCGUAACAAGGUAAAGG
rnacentral:rRNA from 1 species